ACAGCUGGCGGCGUGCUUAACACAUGCAAGUCGAGCGGAAAGGCCCUUUCGGGGGUACUCGAGCGGCGAACGGGUGAGUAACACGUGAGCAACCUGCCCCUGGCUCUGGGAUAGCCUCCGGAAACGGGGAUUAAUACCGGACAUGACUUCCUGCCGCAUGGCGGGGGGUGGAAAGUUUUUCGGCCAGGGUGGGGCUCGCGGCCUAUCAGCUUGUUGGGGGGUGACGGCCCACCAAGGCGACGACGGGUAGCCGGCCUGAGAGGGCGACCGGCCACACUGGGACUGAGACACGGCCCAGACUCCUACGGGAGGCAGCAGUGGGGAAUAUUGCGCAAUGGGGGAAACCCUGACGCAGCGACGCCGCGUGCGGGAUGAAGGCCUUCGGGUUGUAAACCGCUUUCACCAGGGACGAAGCGAGAGUGACGGUACCUGGGGAAGAAGCGCCGGCUAACUACGUGCCAGCAGCCGCGGUAAUACGUAGGGCGCGAGCGUUGUCCGGAAUUAUUGGGCGUAAAGAGCUCGUAGGCGGCCGGUUGCGUCUGCUGUGAAAUCCCGGGGCUUAACCCCGGGCGUGCAGUGGAUACGGGCCGGCUGGAGGCAGGCAGGGGAGAAUGGAAUUCCCGGUGUAGCGGUGAAAUGCGCAGAUAUCGGGAGGAACACCGGUGGCGAAGGCGGUUCUCUGGGCCUGUACUGACGCUGAGGAGCGAAAGCGUGGGGAGCGAACAGGAUUAGAUACCCUGGUAGUCCACGCCGUAAACGUUGGGCGCUAGGUGUGGGUCC
rnacentral:rRNA from 1 species